rnacentral:rRNA from 1 species
GAUGAACGCUGGCGGCGUGCCUAAUACAUGCAAGUCGAGCGAACAGACGAGGAGCUUGCUCCUCUGACGUUAGCGGCGGACGGGUGAGUAACACGUAGAUAACCUACCUAUAAGACUGGGAUAACUUCGGGAAACCGGAGCUAAUACCGGAUAAUAUAUUGAACCGCAUGGUUCAAUAGUGAAAGAUGGUUUUGCUGUCACUUAUAGAUGGAUCCGCGCCGCAUUAGCUAGUUGGUAAGGUAACGGCUUACCAAGGCAACGAUGCGUAGCCGACCUGAGAGGGUGAUCGGCCACACUGGAACUGAGACACGGUCCAGACUCCUACGGGAGGCAGCAGUAGGGAAUCUUCCGCAAUGGGCGAAAGCCUGACGGAGCAACGCCGCGUGAGUGAUGAAGGUCUUCGGAUCGUAAAACUCUGUUAUUAGGGAAGAACAAAUGUGUAAGUAACUAUGCACGUCUUGACGGUACCUAAUCAGAAAGCCACGGCUAACUACGUG